AUGCCUCUCCUAAAGACUAAGCCAUGCAUGUCUUCGAAUAAGAGGAAGCAAUUCUCUCUGAAUCUGCGAACGGCUCCGCAAACCAGUUGUAAACCAUAGCGAGCAUGCCUGGGUGGGCCUCGGCUCGCCUGCGCGAUACGGAUAACCCUGGUAAUUCUAAGGCUAAUACGUGUAUGGAACACCCGGUGGACCGGCCUUGUGCUGGGAAACCGGGAGGCGAGGGAUUGAAUGUUUGGAUUACCAGGAACGGGCG
rnacentral:rRNA from 1 species